AUUGAACGCUGGCGGCAUGCCUAACACAUGCAAGUCGAACGGGGCAGCAAUGCCUAGUGGCGGACGGGUGAGGAAUACGUAGGAAUCUGCCCUUAAGUGGGGGAUAACCAGGGGAAACCCUGACUAAUACCGCAUGAUCUCUUCGGAGCAAAGAGGGGGACCGCAAGGCCUCUCGCUUCUGGAUGAGCCUACGUCUGAUUAGCUAGUUGGUAGGGUAAAGGCCUACCAAGGCGACGAUCAGUAACUGGUCUGAGAGGAUGAUCAGUCACACCGGAACUGAGACACGGGCCGGACUCCUACGGGAGGCAGCAGGGGGGAAUAUUGGACAAUGGGCGCAAGCCUGAUCCAGCAAUGCCGCGUGUGUGAAGAAGGCCUUCGUGUUGUAAAGCACUUUAGCCUGGAAAGAAAAAACUUUGGUUAACACCCAAAGUCUUGACGGUACCAGGAGAAUAAGCACCGGCUAACUCUGUGCCAGCCGCCGCCGUAAUAC
rnacentral:rRNA from 1 species